CCUCCAGCCAGUUACUCACGGAAGCGCCCGGACGGGUGGUGAGGGGCCCGGGCCGGAUGGCGCGGCUUAGAGCGGACGGUGUUCGUGCUGCUUUCUGUGCCGUGGUUUCUGAAAGCUUAAAUACAGACCAGAAGAGGAGUUUGGGGCUUGACAUCUGACAUCUUAACACCAGUUCCUGUUUCUUGAGGAAGGAAGAGGUAAAAUAAAUCAGCGUUUACUGUGUCCUUCUCCAUCCCCGGAAGUCCUUGUGAAGACCCUCUCAGAAUGACUAGACCUCCUGCAGAAUGACUAUAUUGUGCCUCCCUUGGGCACCCCUGUCUGCGCAGCACCCUCCACCCCCAACUGCCCAACCGCCUCUCUCCUGGCAUUCUGCUUCUAGAAGUAUGUUCUUUUGAUGCAGAGAUGCAACACACACAGAAAUCCCAGCUGGAUUACAGACUUGAACCCGAAGACCUUAUGCAGAAUGACUAUUUAUGAACCACUAAACUCAGUACUAAAGCAGGUACUUACUCCUCAGAGAAGGCCCUGGGGGAGGUUGAUACAUGCAUUCCCCAGUGCUCCUGCUGCUCUAGAAGUGCCUGAAAUGCCUCUCUGGGAAAGGCCUUCAGAUUAGGCUCAUGGCCCACGUGGGAAUUCAGGCCUAUUUUUCUGUUAGAACAUCUCAUUUCGCUCUGAAAAUGUUAUUAUCCAGUUUAUUCACCAGGCAUGAGUACAGACAUCUCAUAUUUUCAAAAUUAAUCCCAUUCUCUAAUACUAAUUUGCCACCAAGAGUAUAUUCCAAAGUGUUUCCAAUAGGCUAGCAAGUCUUUCCAAAGAGGGGAGUCCUGCUCCGUGUUGUGCAGUGACAGCAGGGAUGGCAUAAUAUGUUUACCCAGAUACCUACCACUUUUUAAAAAUUUUUUAUUGUGUUUUACUUGAAACUUUACAGAGCAAAUUACUUUCUUGUUCAGCCAUUUAUACACAAUUGUUUUGUGACAUUGGUGGCAAUAUUCAUGAUGUGUCAGUAUUCUCUUCUAUGCUCCAGUUCCCCGUUUCCAUCUGCCAUGAUUCCUGUUCCAUCCUGCCCUCUUUUCUGUGCUUUUGGGCAGGUUUUGCACUUUUGGUCUCAUACACACGAUUGAACUAAGAAACACUUUCUUCACGUGUGUUACUGUUUGUUUUAUAGACCUGUCUAAUCUUUGGCUGAAGGGCGAACUUCAGAAGGUACUUUCGACUUUGUUGCUUUCCAUAAUUCCUGAAAUUCCAAGUCUACCACCUGAAGAACUUCCUUUAGUGUUUCAUUUAGAACAAGUCUGGUGGCGAUGAAUUCUCUUAAGCGUCCUUCACCUGAGAAUGUCAAUAUUUUUCCUUUACUCAUGAAGGAAAUAACAGCCUAUAGAACACUGGGUUAAUGUUUCUUUUCUUUUAGUGUUGAAAAAGUGUUGUUUUCACAGCCUUUUGGCCUCCAUGGCUUCUGAUGAUGAAUACGGAGUCAUUCCAAUUGUUUUUCCUGUGUGAAAUGAGUUGUUUUCUCUCUAGCUUCUUUGAAGAUACUUUCUUGGUCCUUGUUAUUCCACAAUUGACAGUGAGGCAUUUGGGCGUAAAAUUAUGUGAGUUUAACUUGUUGGAGUUUGCAUAGCUUCUUGAAUCUGUAAGUUUAUGUCUUUCAACAAAUUGGGAAAGUGUUGAGCCAGUAUUUCUUCAGAUACUUUUUUCUACACCACAUAUUUUCUGUACACCUUAUGUAAUUCCAAUAAAUAAAUGUUAGAUAUUUUUGGAUUUUUUUGAGGCUCUGUUCAUUUUUUUUUCAGAUUGGAUAUUUUCAGUUGAACUAUUUUCAUCUCAUUGAUCCUUUUGUCUGUCAACAGCAUUCCGCUGUAGAGCUGAUCAAGUGAAUUAUUUAUCUCUAUUUUUCUAUUUUUCCUGUCUAAAAUUUUCAUUUGUGAAUGGUUUCUAUGUAUUUUUCUAUUUUUCUAAGGUGUGCCUGUUACUUCUUUGAGCGUGGUUAAAGUAGCUUUUUAAAGUUUUUGUCUAUGAUUCCAAGACUUACAGAAAAUGUUGAUGUUGUUUGUUUUAGGAAUCACUUGACCCAGUUAUGUUCAGGCUGCAGGUUCUUUCCCACCUUCUGUGUGCUGUGGCUCAG